rnacentral:lncRNA from 1 species
UACUGAUCAAGGAAUACUGACUGGACUGGGCUGUCCAUUCACACAGGAAUCUGAUGGAUCUCAAAGGCCAGUUUGGGAGUUAUGAUGGUUAUCUCCAUUGUCAACUUCGCUGGAUUUAGAGGAUGUCCGCAAUAGUGUUUAGCAAAUAAUUUAAAAACUCGUGAGCAUCCUGCUGCAUGUAGUUAUCAAAGAGAUCUGGAAAGGAGAAGGUCAUCAUUUCACACUCUGCGUCUUGAAGAGCGAACAGACGUAUUUAGCUUUCCGCGCGACAAGCUUCGGUAACGAUAUCCAAAGACUGGCCAGGCGCGGCACAGAAAUGUACUUCGGCUCUACUGUGCAACUACAAAUGAGUAACUUCCCAAAAACUCCCGUUUCCUACCACCCACCAAAACCUAAUAUCCUUUAUCUCCCUACAGUCAUGUAUAACAAUGAUCCAAAGUUUUAAUUCAUUCUAGAAAAGUACCAAAAUUACGAGAUAAAAACCUUGAUUAAAUAUCUAUUGGUUUUGCCUGCA